AAGCACCAACCACCCCUCAACAUCAACAAGCACAACAUAAGGGUACUAGUAAAAAAGGGAAAAAAAAGUUGUAAAGUAGGAUACGUAUCCACGCCAUCUUUAAUAAAUAAUCAUGUUUUUUUAAGCUUCAUUAAAAGUUUUAGUGCUCUUCUUUAUUUGAUACUGCUUGAAUCUU
rnacentral:ribozyme from 16 species